UCGUUAUUAUAAUUUGAUAUUUUAUCAAAUGUCUACGUAGAUAGACAAUACAACUUUUCUAUGUAAAUACAUUCCUAUAAAUUUAUUGAAAUAGACAUUUAUUUUAUCUCCCAAUUCAUUUGAUGCAAUGCACACUUUAUUUUAGCUUUGUGUAUUAUGUUUUUAAAAUUCCACUAUAUAUAGCUCAUACUGAACAAUAUU